AUGCGCCAGAGCCACACACGCACAGCCCACCAGUUACGGCACCCAAAACACCAUUUUCUUAGGAACUGUAAUUGUCGGGGCCAGAAGCCCCAAACUCAACAACAGUGCCCUCUGUGGCUUUCACACUCAAUCCCCGCACACACACACACACACGCACGUACACACACACACACACACACGAGGCGUUCAGGAGAUGCCUGCCAAGCACCCAGGGGCGUCGUGUCUGCGUCCGGGCCGCACCACCCAGCGGGCACAGGUGUGUGCAGACGGGCUACGAGAAGGGCUGGCGCUGAGCAGGAGCUAGAAGCACAGUGUCCCCCCCACCCCCGGCCCCGGCCAGGCGGCCUCUGCUGCCAGCAGCCAGCUCACGGCAAACCUCACAGCGCCAAGCCAGGGGUGGGGGUGGGGGCGCAUCUGUGCUGCUCACCUGGGGGAAACAAACCAAACCACACACACAGGAGAGCCACCGAACACUCUGCUCUGUGGCCAGAGGGACCCCAGUGGGCCUUGUCUCCUGCUGCUUCCCCAGAGGCUGGGCUGCUGGGAUGCUGGCGGCCAAGACCACAGGGCCGCUCAGCGCGCCCAGGCCCGGCCCGCAUGGCCCCUGCUGCCCAGAUGAGCCCCUGCACCCUCCCCAUCGUCAGCCCCUGGGCUCCCCACGUCUCCCCUGUCGCUGCCUGGAGGUGGCCGCAGCAGCUCUCAGGAAUAGCCCCAGGGCUACCGGCACCCACACCCACGCUCAGAAAGCACUGCGGCAGCCCUGGCACAACCCAAGGCCCCGUGAGGAGACGCCAGCGAGGGCGCCGAGCCCCGCCACCCUCAGCCCUGAGCGUCUCCCUGCAGAGCAGGCCUCGCGCUCCACUGCUCUGGGGCGGCAGCUCCAAUGACAGUGCGCCCAGGGGAGAAGACGGCCCUCCCUGCCCGCGGCCUCUCUGUCACUUAGCAGUGACCACCAACGUCCGGCAGGGCCUCUGGCUUCCCACUGCGAUAUCACCGCAGCAUCAGUACCCCCUGUGCCGCGGUUUUCAACACAGGCCCAGGACCCGGCACUGCAAAGCUGGACAAAACCACAGGGAACCCUGCCUUCGUGUCUCCAGGCCACGAGUACCUAAGAGGAACGAAAGGAGUGCUGCUCUCCCGCCCUGGUCACUGAAUGGAGCUGCAGAGAGUGCUACCGACCCGCCAGCCACGGAGAACGUGAUCCACAACGCUUUGCUCUCACUCCGCCACGGGGAGACAUGGCAGGUGUCGAGGCCAAGACAGCGCCACAGUGGACAGCACAGUGCGGAACCCAGGUGUGUUCAGGGCAAGCCCCACUCCCCCUACCCCCAGAAACCCCCCUGCGGUGACGGCAGGUGCUCCCUGGGGCCAAGGCACCUGCUGGGGUCUGAAUGUGCAUUCCCCAAAUUCCAGGCUGGAACCUGA
rnacentral:lncRNA from 1 species